UUUGUGCGGAGUCGGGGAGGACGGAGGCCGGCUCCCCACUGGCCCUGCCUGGGGCGCUCCUUGGGGAGCGGGGGUGCGGUGGGCAGUGCGGAAAGCCCCUGGGGCGCCCCUGCCCAGGUCCCGCACGACCCCUGUGGUCGGGGCUGCGUAUUGCUCCCUGGGAAACUCAAGGCGCUGCGUAAAGACAGAAGGGUUAAGAGUUCAGGCCAUGCUCUCACUGCAAGGGCAUCUGGGAGAGUGAAGGCCUGGCAGGGUCCAGUUUUUCAGUGGAAGAUCGGCCCAGCCAGGGGUGAGCGGGAGAGGAGAAGGCGAUGAGAUAGGCUCUGCCAGCUGAGAGCACUUCAAAGGGGAGACCUGCGCUGGCUAAACAACCUGGGCACUGGGGUUAUGAAAUGGAUGUGAAUGCAUAAUAUCCACAAUAUCAAAACGGCUGAGUGAACAUAUGGUGACCCACCAGGGACUGUUGGAGACGGCCUGGCACUGAGUGUGUGCAGAGACUUGACAUUCCAGGGAAAGAGGAGAGAGGCACAGCCUUUGAAGGAAGCAGGAGAAGAGCAGAAAGAUCGUCGUCAUAUGAGGAAGAGGUGGAGACUGCUGCGGGCCAGCCGUGGCUGGGGCAGGCCCUCUCCCGGGCUCCUGGUGUCACUCCAGGAAGGAGGCGAGACUGCAGCGUGGGGUGGUUAGCUCCGGACACUGGGUUCCUCCAGCUUCAUGGAGAGUCCUGGGUCCCUGGCGUGUCCAGAAGUGGCAAAGCUCAGAUUGCUGUAGGAACGCCUCAGCUGUGUCAGUGACCCUCUCAAGGGCCAACAGGAAACUGAACACUAGUGGGGACUCCCAUGUGACUCAAGGAAGCCCCAGUAAUAAAUUUCUUCCCAGUCUACUCCUUUGUGCUUAAGAAAACUUGCUUUUAAGGAAAAAGCCAGACAUAUCCCUCUGCCCCACCAAGACGGUGUCCUGCCCCAGAAACUUUGAACAACCAGCAAGAACUGGCAGAAACAUCUUUCUCAAAGCUCCAGAAAACAGUUAAAGGACUGCAGUAACAGGGUAAGCACUGAAUCAAAAAAAUGUCUACUUGAAAGCGGUAGGAGAACCUGUGGCGCCCUGCCUGGCUCCUCCCCAGCCUCUCGCUGCCUCGGCACCUGUGUGAGACCCUGGUCCCAGCUCUGGAGGUAAGAGUUCCCCUCAUUCUCAGUCUGGGAGCUUGUACGUCCAGCCCAAUCUGUCUGGCGGUGGCCCAAGGGACCUUCUGUCCCGGAACCUGCCCGGCCUGUAGCAGGCAGCUCGCCGAGCCUCCUGCAGAAGGCCGUGGAGGUGCAGACACGUCCUGCUGCCGGGGGCAGGGGCUUGCUGGCUGGAGCACACACCGCAGAGCAGUGCCCAGACUGUGAGGGAGCUGCUUCCUGGGGAAGAGGGGCAUUCGGCACUGUGUAAACAGGGGAGCCCCUAGGGCCACACCAGCAUGCUCGAAACAAGAGGCACGUGCAGAAAGUUGUCAGGGAAGCCCCUAAACUUUGACCUGGAGCUGCUCUCCAAACUCACUGUAUGGAGAAGCCCUGAAAGAGCGUAUUCCCAGAUUAAAAAAAAAAAAAAAAAAGCUGAGGGAGUUCAUACCACAAGACCA